ACCUACGGGGGGCAGCAGUGGGGGAUAUUGCACAAUGGGGGAAACCCUGAUGCAGCGACGCCGCGUGAGUGAAGAAGUAUUUCGGUAUGUAAAGCUCUAUCAGCAGGGAAGAAAAUGACAGUACCUGACCAAGAAGCCCCGGCUAACUACGUGCCAGCAGCCGCGGUAAUACGUAGGGGGCAAGCGUUAUCCGGAUUUACUGGGUGUAAAGGGAGCGUAGACGGUUAUGUAAGUCUGGAGUGAAAGCCCGGGGCCCAACCACGGGACUGCUUUG
rnacentral:rRNA from 1 species